UACCAGCACCCCGAGUGGUCGGGACGUUUAUUGGGCCUAAAGCAUCCGUAGCCGGUUCUACAAGUCUUCCGUUAAAUCCAGCUGCUUAACAGAUGGGCUGCGGAAGAUACUAUGGAGCUAGGAGGCGGGAGAGGCAAGCGGUACUCGAUGGGUAGGGGUAAAAUCCGUUGAUCCAUUGAAGACCACCAGUGGCGAAGGCGGCUUGCCAGAAUGCGCUCGACGGUGAGGGAUGAAAGCUGGGGGAGCAAACCGG
rnacentral:rRNA from 1 species